rnacentral:rRNA from 1 species
UACGUAGGGGUGCGACGUUUGUCCGGAAUUAUUGGGCGUAAAGGGCUCGUAGGCGGUUUGUCGCGUCGGGAGUGAAAUCCACUGGACUUAACUGGUGGCUUGCGUUUCGAUUACGGGCAGACUGGAGGUAUGCAGGGGAGAACGGAAUUCCUGGUGUAGGCGGUAGAAAUGCGCAGAUAUCAGGAGGAACACCGGUGGCGAAGGCGGUUCUCUGGGCAUGUCCUGACGCUGGAGGAGCGAAAGUGUGGGGAGCGAACAGG